UACGUAGGGUGCAAGCGUUAAUCGGAAUUACUGGGCGUAAAGCGUGCGCAGGCGGUUGUGCAAGACCGAUGUGAAAUCCCCGGGCUUGAACCUGGGAAUCGGCAUUGGUGACUGCACGGCUAGAGUGUGUCAGAGGGGGGUAGAAUUCCACGUGUAGCAGUGAAAUGCGUAGAGAUGUGGAGGAAUACCGAUGGCGAAGGCAGCCCCCUGGGAUAACGACUGACGCUCAUGCACGAAAGCGUGGGGAGCAAACAGG
rnacentral:rRNA from 1 species